rnacentral:rRNA from 1 species
AGUGAACGCUGGCGGUAUGCCUAACACAUGCAAGUCGAACGGCAGCACAGUAAGAGCUUGCUCUUACGGGUGGCGAGUGGCGUACGGGUGAGGAAUACAUCGGAAUCUACUUUUUCGUGGGGGAUAACGUAGGGAAACUUACGCUACUACCGCAUACGACCUACGGGUGAAAGCAGGGGAUCUUCGGACCUUGCGCGAUUGAAUGAGCCGAUGUCGGAUUAGCUAGUUGGCGGGGUAAAGGCCCACCAAGGCGACGAUCCGUAGCUGGUCUGAGAGGAUGAUCAGCCACACUGGAACUGAGAAACGGUCCAGACUCCUAAGGGAGGCAGCAGUGGGGAAUAUUGGACAAUGGGCGCAAGCCUGAUCCAGCCAUACCGCGUGGGUGAAGAAGGCCUUCGGGUUGUAAAGCCCUUUUGUUGGGAAAGAAAAGCAGCAGGUUAAUACCCCGCUGUUAUGACGGUACCCAAAGAAUAAGCAACGGCUAACUUCGUG